CUACGGGUGGCAGCAGUGGGGAAUAUUGGACAAUGGGCGAAAGCCUGAUCCAGCCAUGCCGCGUGUGUGAAGAAGGCCUUCGGGUUGUAAAGCACUUUCAGUGGGGAAGAAAGCCUUGGGGCUAAUACCCUCGAGGAAGGACAUCACCCACAGAAGAAGCACCGGCUAACUCCGUGCCAGCAGCCGCGGUAAUACGGAGGGUGCGAGCGUUAAUCGGAAUUACUGGGCGUAAAGCGCGCGUAGGCGGUCUGAUAAGCCGGUUGUGAAAGCCCCGGGCUCAACCUGGGAACGGCAUCCGGAACUGUCAGGCUAGAGUGCAGGAGAGGAAGGUAGAAUUCCCGGUGUAGCGGUGAAAUGCGUAGAGAUCGGGAGGAAUACCAGUGGCGAAGGCGGCCUUCUGGACUGACACUGACGCUAAGGUGCGAAAGCGUGGGUAGCAAACAGGAUUAGAUACCCGUGUAGUC
rnacentral:rRNA from 1 species